GCUUGACAACUUUGUUUUGAUUAUUAAUUAAAAUGAAGAUCAGUUUGUUUGUUCUUUUACCAAAAGUAACCGGUCAAAAUGGCCGGCAAGGUAAGAAUUUGACCGGACAAUUCCGCAUUGUCCGUUGACCGGCCGUUAUUUCGCGCCCUGAUUUUGGGCGUCUUACUAGAUCGGAUCAAAACAUUGAAGGGUUAAAAUUGUAGAUGGAAAUUU